AUGCCCUACACAUACCUUGCACUGACCCCAGAGCAGAAGAAGGAGUUGGCUGACAUUGUUUACCGAAUUAUGGCUCCAGGCAAGGGCAUCCUGGCUGCACUCAAGUCCACUUGAAGCAUUGCCAAUCUCCUGCAGUCCAUUGGCACCGAGAACACUGAGGAGGACAAGCGUUCUACUGCCAACUGCUGCUGACUGCUGAUGACCGUGUGAAUCCCUGCAUUGGAAGGAGGUGGAGGGUAGGUGAUCCUCUUCCAUGAGACACUGUACCAAAAGACAGAUGAUGGACGUCCCUUCCUCCAAGUUAUCAAGUCCAAGGGUGAUGUUGUGGGCAUUAAGGUAGAUAAGGGUGUGGUGCCCCGGGAGGAGCCAAUGGCGAGACCACUACACAAGGGCUGGAUGGACUGUCUGAACGCUGUGUCCAGUAUAAGAAGGAUUCAGCUGACUUUGCCAAGUGGCGCUGUGUGCUAAAGAUUGGGGAACACACUCCCUCACCCAUUGCCAUCAUGGAAAAUGCCAAUGUUCUGGCCUGUUAUGCCAGCAUCUGCCAGUAGAAUGGCAUUGUACCAUUUUGGAGCCUGAUGGGGACCAUGACUUGAAGCGCCGCCAGUAUGUAACUGAGAAGGUACUGGCAACUGUCUACAAGGAUCUGAGUGACCACCUCGUGUACCUGGAAGGCACACUGCUGAAGCCCAACAUGUCACCCCUGGAUAUGCUUACACCCAGAAAUUUUCCAAUGAGGAGAUUGUCAUGGCAACCUUCAUAGAACUUCUUCGCACAGUGCCCCCUUGCUGUCCCUGGGGUCAGUUUCCUGUCUGGAAGGCAGAGUGAGGAAGAGGCAUUCACCAACCUCAACGCUAUCAACAAGUGUCCCCUGAUGAAGCCAUGGCCUUGAUUUUCUCCUACAGUCAAGUCCUGCAAACCUCUGCUCUAAAGGCCGUGGAUGGGAAGAAGGAGAACCUGAAGGCAUCCCAGGAGGAGUAUAUCAAGCGAGCCCUGGCCAACAGCCUCGCUUGUCAAGGAAAGUACACUCCAAGUAGCCAGUCUGGAGCCGCAGCCAGUGAAUCUCUCUUCAUCUUUAACCAUACCUACUAACCAGAGCUGAUCUAAGGCUACUCCAUCAACACU